CAGUCGCCGCGGUAAUACGUAGGUGGCAAGCGUUGUCCGGAAUUAUUGGGCGUAAAGGGCUCGCAGGCGGUUUCUUAAGUCUGAUGUGAAAGCCCCCGGCUCAACCGGGGAGGGUCAUUGGAAACUGGGAAACUUGAGUGCAGAAGAGGAGAGUGGAAUUCCACGUGUAGCGGUGAAAUGCGUAGAGAUGUGGAGGAACACCAGUGGCGAAGGCGACUCUCUGGUCUGUAACUGACGCUGAGGAGCGAAAGCGUGGGGAGCGAACAGGAUUAGAUACCCGAGUAGUCCCUGUCUCUUAUAU
rnacentral:rRNA from 1 species